rnacentral:snRNA from 2 species
GUGCUGACUUUGACGCACAUACACUAAAAUUGGAAAAAUAGAGGUUAGCAUGGUCCCUUUGUAAGAAUGACAAGCAAAUUCAUGAAUAGUUCCAUGUUUAA